rnacentral:lncRNA from 1 species
CCGGACCCACCCGAGUUAAGAGAAAGGAAACGACCCGGUCGUCAAUGCGCGGGCAAGCGGAGAGGUCGAGAGAUUGUAAUUGGGGGUGCUUCUGGAGAAGACUCGGCAAGAACUCGAUUCGGAGAACCCGGAGAUGCUUCCGAGUCAGUAAGUCGAUUCGGUGAAACUCUCUGCAAACAAGUCGGAAUGAUUUCCGAUCCGACUCGGUGGCGAGUUUCUCACGGACUCGGACGAGUAGAUCUUCUGUUAAGCUAAAGAUGUUCUUGUUCGAUCGAAACAACGCCAUUUUUAAAGAUUAAAAAUAAGAUUUCUUUGCUUUAGAAGAAAUUAAGGAUUUUUCUGCUUCUUGGGGUUAACUUUUUCAGGUGGGAACGAACAAGAAGACAACUCGGAGGUAGAGGAGAGGGUGGUGGGUCGGUUUGCAGAGAGUCCGUAUCAGACUAAAACAGGUUCGGGUCGGAUUCAUUUUCCUUUUCCCUUUUAUUUUCCCGGAUUUUUCUCAAAUUCAGAGAAGAAAAAUGGAGGCUUUUCUUAGGUAGGUGAAGAGUUGCAGAGAGAGCUGAAUGAGGAAGAAAACGAAAGAGAAAGACCCAGAAACGCUUCGCUGAAAACAGGAUCACAUCUUCAAAAUUGAGUCCUCCAGACGGAAACUAGCCACGUGGAUACAGAACGGAGUCUGGCCGUCCGAUCGGGAGAAAAAGAGCUUUUGACCGGAGAUGAAGAGGACACGUGGUGAGAGGUAGAAGGUGAGAGGCACAAAAGCAGGGCGGUACCGAAAAGUACGAAGAAUAGUUUGCUCUUUUUUGUAGAUAAACGUUGUACCGCAGGUUCUACGAAAGAAAGAGAAAGGGCGGGGCGGGGUGGUUCAUGUUUUGUACGGUUCAUGACGUGGCAUUGUGGUGGGGCCCCGUCAGAAGAAACGGCGACCGUACCUAUCCG